rnacentral:rRNA from 1 species
CGGACGGGUGAGUAACGCGUGAGGAACCUGCCUUUCAGUGGGGGACAACAGUUGGAAACGACUGCUAAUACCGCAUAACGUACGGGUAUCGCAUGGUAUCUGUACCAAAGAUUUAUCGCUGAGAGAUGGCCUCGCGUCUGAUUAGCUAGUUGGUAGGGUAACGGCCUACCAAGGCGACGAUCAGUAGCCGGACUGAGAGGUUGGCCGGCCACAUUGGGACUGAGAUACGGCCCAGACUCCUACGGGAGGCAGCAG